rnacentral:rRNA from 1 species
UACGUAUGGAGCAAGCGUUAUCCGGAUUUACUGGGUGUAAAGGGAGCGCAGGCGCCAGGCAAGUCUGAUGUGAAAACCCGGGGCCCAACCCCGGGACUGCAUUGGAAACUGCCCGGCUGGAGUGUCGGAGAGGCAAGUGGAAUUCCUAGUGUAGCGGUGAAAUGCGUAGAUAUUAGGAGGAACACCAGUGGCGAAGGCGGCUUGCUGGACGAUCACUGACGCUGAGGCUCGAAAGCGUGGGGAGCGAACAGG